UACGGAGGGUGCAAGCGUUGUUCGGAAUCAUUGGGCGUAAAGGGUGUGUAGACGGCCUAUUAAGUCUGGUGUGAAAGCCCGGGGCUCAACCGCAGAAGGGCAGUGGAUACUGGAAGGCUAGAGUACGGAAGAGAAGGGUGGAAUUCCUGGUGUAGCGGUGAAAUGCGUAGAUAUCAGGAGGAACACCGAUGGCGAAGGCGGCCUUCUGGACGGUUUCUGACGCUGAGACGCGAAAGCGUGGGGAGCAAUCAGG
rnacentral:rRNA from 1 species